AGAGCGAACGCUGGCGGCAUGCUUAACACAUGCAAGUCGCACGGGCAGGGGUAACUCUGUCAGUGGCGGACGGGUGAGUAACGCGUAGGUAUCUAUCCUUGGGUGGGGGACAACCGCGGGAAACUGCGGCUAAUACCGCAUGACGACUAAGGUCCAAAGGCCGAAAGGUCGCCUGAGGAGGAGCCUGCGUCCGAUUAGCUUGUUGGUGGGGUAACGGCCUACCAAGGCUCCGAUCGGUAGCUGGUCUGAGAGGAUGAUCAGCCACACUGGAACUGAAACACGGUCCAGACUCCUACGGGAGGCAGCAGUGGGGAAUUUGCGCAAUGGGGGAAACCCUGACGCAGCAACGCCGCGUGGAGGAUGAAAUCCCUUGGGAUGUAAACUCCUUUCGAUCGGGAAGAUAAUGACGGUACCGGAAGAAGAAGCCCCGGCUAACUUCGUGCCAGCAGCCGC
rnacentral:rRNA from 1 species